GUAGGGUGCGAGCGUUAAUCGGAAUUACUGGGCGUAAAGGGUGCGCAGGCGGUUGAGUAAGACAGAUGUGAAAUCCCCGAGCUUAACUCGGGAAUGGCAUAUGUGACUGCUCGACUAGAGUGUGUCAGAGGGAGGUGGAAUUCCACGUGUAGCAGUGAAAUGCGUAGAUAUGUGGAAGAACACCGAUGGCGAAGGCAGCUUCCUGGGACAUAACUGACGCUCAGGCACGAAAGCGUGGGGAGCAAACAGGAUUAGAUACCCUGGUAGUCCACGCCCUANACGAUGUUAACUAGUUGUUGGGNAGUAANAUUCUCAGUAACGCAGCCAACGCGAGANGUUNACCGCCUGGGAGU
rnacentral:rRNA from 1 species